rnacentral:rRNA from 1 species
GUGGGGAAUAUUGGACAAUGGGGGGAACCCUGAUCCAGCCAUGCCGCGUGUGUGAAGAAGGCCUUUUGGUUGUAAAGCACUUUAAGCGAGGAGGAGGCUACCGAGAUUAAUACUCUUGGAUAGUGGACGUUACUCGCAGAAUAAGCACCGGCUAACUCUGUGCCAGCAGCCGCGGUAAUACAGAGGGUGCAAGCGUUAAUCGGAUUUACUGGGCGUAAAGCGCGCGUAGGUGGCCAAUUAAGUCAAAUGUGAAAUCCCCGAGCUUAACUUGGGAAUUGCAUUCGAUACUGGUUGGCUAGAGUAUGGGAGAGGAUGGUAGAAUUCCGGGUGUAGCGGUGAAAUGCGUAGAGAUCUGGAGGAAUACCGAUGGCGAAGGCAGCCAUCUGGCCUAAUACUGACACUGAGGUGCGAAAGCAUGGGGAGCAAACAGGAUUAGAUACCCGGGUAGUCC